rnacentral:rRNA from 1 species
AGCAUAUCAAUAAGCGGAGGAAAAGAAACCAACAGGGAUUGCCCCAGUAACGGCGAGUGAAGCGGCAACAGCUCAAAUUUGAAAUCUGGCCCCCAGGGCCCGAGUUGUAAUUUGCAGAGGAUGCUUUUGGCGCGGUGCCUUCCGAGUUCCCUGGAACGGGACGCCAUAGAGGGUGAGAGCCCCGUCUGGUCGGACGCCUAGCCUGUGUAAAGCUCCUUCGACGAGUCGAGUAGUUUGGGAAUGCUGCUCUAAAUGGGAGGUAUAUGUCUUCUAAAGCUAAAUACCGGCCAGAGACCGAUAGCGCACAAGUAGAGUGAUCGAAAGAUGAAAAGCACUUUGAAAAGAGGGUUAAAUAGUACGUGAAAUUGUUGAAAGGGAAGCGCUUGUGACCAGACUUGGGCCCGGUGGAUCAUCCAGCGUUCUCGCUGGUGCACUCCGCCGGGUUCAGGCCAGCAUCAGUUCGCCGCGGGGGAAAAAGGCUUCGGGAACGUGGCUCCUACGGGAGUGUUAUAGCCCGUUGCAUAAUACCCUGGGGCGGACUGAGGUUCGCGCUCCGCAAGGAUGCUGGCGUAAUGGUCAUCAGCGACCCGUCUUGAAACACGGACCAAGGAGUCGUCUUCGUAUGCGAGUGUUCGGGUGUAAAACCCCUACGCGUAAUGAAAGUGAACGCAGGUGAGAGCUUCGGCGCAUCAUCGACCGAUCCUGAUGUUCUCGGAUGGAUUUGAGUAAGAGCAUACGGGGCCGGACCCGAAAGAAGGUGAACUAUGCCUGUAUAGGGUGAAGCCAGAGGAAACUCUGGUGGAGGCUCGCAGCGGUUCUGACGUGCAAAUCGAUCGUCAAAUAUGGGCAUGGGGGCGAAAGACUAAUCGAACCUUCUAGUAGCUGGUUUCCGCCGAA